AACGAACGUUAGCGGCGCGCCUAACACAUGCAAGUCGCACGAGAAAGGGCUUCGGCCCCGGUAAAGUGGCGCACGGGUGAGUAACACGUGGGUAAUCUGCCCUCGAGCGGGGGAUAACAUUCCGAAAGGAGUGCUAAUACCGCAUAAGACCACGACCUCGAAAGAGGACGAGGUAAAAGCUGGCCUCUAUACAUAAGCUAGCACUUGAGGAUGAGCCCGCGGCGCAUCAGGUAGUUGGUGAGGUAACGGCUCACCAAGCCUAAGACGCGUAGCUGGGCUGAGAGGAUGAUCAGCCACACUGGAACUGAGACACGGUCCAGACUCCUACGGGAGGCAGCAGUGGGGAAUCUUGCGCAAUGGGCGAAAGCCUGACGCAGCGACGCCGCGUGAGUGAUGAAGGCCUUCGGGUUGUAAAGCUCUGUGGGGAGAGACGAAUAAGUGCCGCCUAAUACGUUGCAUGAUGACGGUAUCUCCUUAGCAAGCACCGGCUAACUUCGUGCCAGCAGCCGCCGUAAAAC
rnacentral:rRNA from 1 species